rnacentral:rRNA from 1 species
UGCAGUCGNACGCGAAAGUAGCCUUCGGGCUACAAGUAGAGUGGCAAACGGGUGAGUAACGCGUGGGUGACCUACCUUUGAGUGGGGGAUAACGUUUCGAAAGGAACGCUAAUACCGCAUAACAUCCCGCCUUUGGAAAGGUGGUGAUCAAAGCCGGGGAUCGCAAGACCUGGCGCUUGAUGAGGGGCCCGCGUCCGAUUAGCUUGUUGGCGGGGUAACGGCCCACCAAGGCGACAAUCGGUAGCCGGCCUGAGAGGGCGGACGGCCACACUGGGACUGAGACACGGCCCAGACUCCUACGGGAGGCAGCAGUGGGGAAUUGUUCGCAAUGGGCGAAAGCCUGACGACGCAACGCCGCGUGGAGGACGAAAACCUUCGGGUCGUAAACUCCUGUCGAGUGGGACGAAUACUACUUGGGUUAAUAACUCAGGUGGCUGACGGUACCAUUAAAGGAAGCCCCGGCUAACUCCGUGCCAGCAGCCGCGGUAAUACGGGGGGGGCAAGCGUUGUUCGGAUUUACUGGGCGUAAAGAGCUCGUAGGCGGCUUGCUUAGUCGAACGUGAAAUCCCUUGGCUCAACUGAGGAACUGCGUCCGAUACUGGCAAGCUUGAAUCCGGGAGAGGGAUGCGGAAUUCCAGGUGUAGCGGUGAAAUGCGUAGAUAUCUGGAGGAACACCGGUGGCGAAGGSGGCAUCCUGGACCGGUAUUGACGCUGAGGAGCGAAAGCCAGGGUAGCAAACGGGAUUAGAUACCCCGGUAGUCCUGGCCCUAAACGAUGAAUGCUUGGUGUGGCGGGUAUCGAUCCCUGCUGUGCCGAAGCUAACNCAUAA